CAAGCUGAAAAUUGUGGUAGAAGUUGUAUUCUUCUAUGUUAAACAGUUCCGAAGUUAUACGUGAAUGGAAAUUGUACAAAAAAUGCUGAAAAUAGCGAUAUUUUCUGCCAUAACUCUGAAAUGGGAAAUGAUAUGGAAAAACCAAAACAUACAUUAUGUCUUACUUUUUCUUGCUUUCAACCAUGGUACUAGUUGUUUUUCUCUAUCUGUAAAACUGAGUGAGUUAUGGGCAAAAAUUGAGCAUCUUGAAAAUCAUGAGCUUGCAUUUGACUUUUCUAGGUCAUCCAAGGUCAACAAAAUUGGUAUCAAAUGAAAGGCCAUAUGUGACUUCUGAUUAGUGGAUAAUAGAUG